GUGAGGAAUAUUGGUCAAUGGGCGGGAGCCUGAACCAGCCAAGUCGCGUGAAGGAAGAAGGAUCUAUGGUUCGUAAACUUCUUUUGCAGGGGAAUAAAGUGCAGGACGUGUCCUGUUUUGUAUGUACCCUGAGAAUAAGGAUCGGCUAACUCCGUGCCAGCAGCCGCGGUAAUACGGAGGAUCCGAGCGUUAUCCGGAUUUAUUGGGUUUAAAGGGUGCGUAGGUGGUUUGAUAAGUCAGCGGUGAAAGUUUGCAGCUUAACUGUAAAAAUGCCGUUGAGACUGUAGGGCAUGAGUGGUAAUGAGGUAGGCGGAAUGCGAGGUGUAGCGUUGCAAUGCAUAGAUAUCACGAAGAACUCCGAUUGCGAAAGCAGCUUACUAAGCUACAACUGACACUGAAGCACGAAAGCGUGGGGAUCAAACAGGAUUAGAAACCCCGGUAGUCC
rnacentral:rRNA from 1 species